rnacentral:rRNA from 1 species
CAUCGUCAGCUCAUUUUGUAUAUGUAGAAGUUAUGAUGCGAGUUACUCNUUGUAGUAUUGCUUGUACAUACUUUUACAUUUAUUUGCAAGAUGUUGUCGGCGUGCACUUCUCCCCUAGUAGAACGUCGCGACCCGUUGGGUGUUGGUCUACGACCCGAGUNGGGAGACUUNUAAUAUUUUUAUAAUAUUAAAGACCCUUGGUGUUUUCUGACCGGCUGCCCGGCGGUACUCGUACGGUAUUUAGCCGCAAUUUAUNUUGCGUCCAUGUCCGUUGCAAGCGAGGCUAAUUUC